AGAAUCAACGCUGGCGGCGUGCCUAACACAUGCAAGUCGCACGAGAAAGUGGAGCAAUCCACGAGUACAGUGGCGCACGGGUGAGUAACACGUGAAUGAUCUACCUCCGAGUGGGGAAUAACUGAGAGAAAUCUUAGCUAAUACCGCAUAAUACCCACGGGUCAAAGCAGCAAUGCGCUUGGAGAGGAGUUCGCGGCCGAUUAGCUAGUUGGCGGGGUAAUGGCCCACCAAGGCGAUGAUCGGUA
rnacentral:rRNA from 1 species